rnacentral:tRNA from 1 species
GGUGCUUAGCUCAGUUGGUAGAGCGGCGCCCUUACAAGGCGUAGGUCGGGGGUUCGAACCCCUCAGCACCCACCAC